GACCUCAAAUCAGGUAGGACCACCCGCUGAACUUAAGCAUAUCAAUAAGCGGAGGAAAAGAAACUAACAAGGAUUCCCCUAGUAACUGCGAGUGAAGCGGGAAGAGCUCAAAUUUUGAAUCUGGCAGUCCUUGGCUGUCCGAGUUGUAAUCUAGAGAAGUGUUUUCCGCGCUGGACCGUGUAUAAGUCUCCUGGAAGGGAGCGUCGUAGAGGGUGAGAAUCCCGUCUUUGACACGGACUACCAGUGCUAUGUGAUGCGCUCUCGACGAGUCGAGUUGUUUGGGAAUGCAGCUCAAAACGGGUGGUAAACUCCAUCUAAAGCUAAAUACAGGCGAGAGACCGAUAGCGAACAAGUACCGUGAGGGAAAGAUGAAAAGAACUUUGGAAAGAGAGUUAAACAGUACGUGAAAUUGCUGAAAGGGAAACGCUUGAUGUCAGUCGCGUUGGCUGGGGAUCAACCUUGCUUCUCGCUGGGUGUACUUCCCGGUCGACGGGUCAGCAUCAGUUUCAGUCACCGUACAAGGGUGAGAGGAACGUGGCACUCCUCGGAGUGUGUUAUAGCCUUUCGUCGUAUGCGGUGGUCGGGACUGAGGUGCUCAGCACGGCUUCUUGCUUGUGCUCAGGAUGCUGGCAUAAUGGCCUUAAGCGAC
rnacentral:rRNA from 1 species